rnacentral:rRNA from 1 species
UGGGGAAUAUUGGACAAUGGGCGCAAGCCUGAUCCAGCCAUGCCGCGUGAGUGAUGAAGGCCUUAGGGUUGUAAAGCUCUUUCGCCGACGAAGAUAAUGACGGUAGUCGGAGAAGAAGCCCCGGCUAACUUCGUGCCAGCAGCCGCGGUAAUACGAAGGGGGCUAGCGUUGUUCGGAAUCACUGGGCGUAAAGCGCACGUAGGCGGAUUGUUAAGUCAGGGGUGAAAGCCUGGAGCUCAACUCCAGAACUGCCCUUGAUACUGGCAAUCUCGAGUCCGGAAGAGGUAAGUGGAACUGCGAGUGUAGAGGUGAAAUUCGUAGAUAUUCGCAAGAACACCAGUGGCGAAGGCGGCUUACUGGUCCGGUACUGACGCUGAGGUGCGAAAGCGUGGGGAGCAAAACAGGAUUAGAUACCCUGGUAGUCCACGCCGUAAACGAUGGAGGCUAGCCGUUGGCGAGCAUGCUCGUCAGUGGCGCAGCUAACGCAUUAAGCCUCCCGCCU